rnacentral:misc_RNA from 1 species
GAUGAAGAACGUAGCGAAAUGCGAUACGUAAUGUGAAUUGCAGAAUUCAGUGGAUCAUCGAGUCUUUGAACGCACAUUGCGCCCCCUGGUAUUCCGGGGGGCAUGCCUGUCCGAGCGUCAUUGCUGCCCUCAAGCACGGCUUGUGUGUUGGGCCUCCGUCCUCCUCCCGGGGGACGGGCCCGAAAGGCAGCGGCGGCACCGCGUCCGGUCCUCGAGCGUAUGGGGCUUCGUCACCCGCUCUUGUAGGCCCGGCCGGCGCUUGCCGACACAUCAAUCUUUUUUCCAGGUUGACCUCGGAUCAGGUAGGGAUACCCGCUGAACUUAAGCAUAUCAUAAGCGGAGGA